UAUGUAGGGUGGCUAGUGUCUAUUCGGGAAUUCAAUGGGCGCGAAAGCGCGGCGGUAGGCGGUUUCUUUAAGUUUGGAUGGAGAAACCGCCGCGGUUCAACUCUUGGAGGGUCCUUCGACACCUGGAAAAUUUAGUGCAGAAGAGGAGAGGUGAAACUUCCUUGGUGAACGGGGAAAUGCGCAGAGUUAUGGAGGCACACCCACUGGUGAAGGGGUUCUUCUUGUCUGUAACUGAACCUGAUGGGGAAAAACGGGGGGGUACAACAGGGUUAGAUUCACUGGUUGUCCACCGCGUAAACGAUGAGUGCUAAGUGUUAGGGAGUUUCCGCCCCUUAGUGGUGCAGCUAACGCAUUAAGCCCUCCGCCUGGGGAGUACGGCCGCAAGGUUAAAACUCAAAGGAAUUGACGGGGGCCCGCACAAGCGGUGGAGCAUGUGGUUUAAUUUGAAGCAACGCGAAGAACCUUACCAAAUCUUGACAUCCUGUGACCCCUCCAGAGAUAGAGUUUUCCCCUUCGGGGGACAGAGUCACAGGUGGUGCAUGGGUGUUCUCAGCUUGUGUUGUGAGAUGUUGGGUUAAGCCCCGCAACGAGCACACCCCUUCAUUUUAGUCCCCAUCAUUAAGUUGGGCACUUUAAGUUGACUGCCGGUGACAAACCGGAGGAAGGUGGGGAUGACGUCAAAUCAUCAUGCCCCUUAUGAUUUGGGCUACACACGUGCUACAAUGGUCAAUACAAAGGGUAGCCAAACCGCGAGGUCAAGCAAAUCCCAUAAAGUUGUUCUCAGUUCGGAUUGUAGUCUGCAACUCGACUACAUGAAGUUGGAAUCGCUAGUAAUCGUAGAUCAGCAUGCUACGGUGAAUACGUUCCCGGGUCUUGUACACCCCGCCCAGUGGGCCCCCAUGGAGAGUUGUGUUUACUACCCCCCGGA
rnacentral:rRNA from 1 species